AAGUACCAAUUUAUAUGGAUUUAGAGAAAUUCUACUGGAUUCAUGUUAACCUUGCUAGCAUCUGGGUGAACCUAAUUUUUCUUGUAGUUGGUUUACUUAAUGAUAAGCAUUAGCCCAUUCCUAUAUUUGAUUUGAACCUAAUUGAAUUUGAUUCAAUGGGUUCCAAUAGUUGGAUGCUUAAUUUAUGGCUUGAAUUAAAUCAAAAAAGAGUUUCAUGAUUUUAUUGAUUGAAAAUACAUCUUAAUUUGAUCAAGAAUCUUUGAAGUAAAUUUAUGAAACCAUGUGGAC
rnacentral:lncRNA from 1 species